rnacentral:rRNA from 1 species
ACGGGAGGCAGCAGUGGGGAAUAUUGGGCAAUGGGCGCAAGCCUGACCCAGCAACGCCGCGUGAAGGAAGAAGGCUUUCGGGUUGUAAACUUCUUUUACCAGGGACGAAGGACGUGACGGUACCUGGAGAAAAAGCCACGGCUAACUACGUGCCAGCAGCCGCGGUAAUACGUAGGUGGCAAGCGUUGUCCGGAUUUAUUGGGUUUAAAGGGUGCGUAGGCGGACUGACAAGUCAGGGGUGAAAGCCCGGUGCUCAACACCGGAACUGCCCUUGAUACUGCCAGCCUUGAAUUCGGAUGCCGUGGGAGGAAUGAGUAGUGUAGCGGUGAAAUGCAUAGAUAUUACUCAGAACACCGAUUGCGAAGGCAUCUCACGAAUCCGACAUUGACGCUGAGGCACGAAAGCGUGGGGAUCAAACAGGAUUAGAUACCCUGGUA